rnacentral:rRNA from 1 species
AUUGAACGCUGGCGGCAGGCCUAACACAUGCAAGUCGAACGAGUGGCGGACGGGUGAGUACUGUCCGGGAAACUGCCUGAUGGAGGGGGAUAACUACUGGAAACGGAAGCUAAUACCGCAUACCAUCGGAUGUGCCCAGAUGGGAUUAGCUAGUAGGUGGGGGAAAGGCUCACCUAGGCGACGAUCCCUAGCUGGUCUGAGAGGAUGACCAGCCACCCUGGAACUGCGAUCCGGUCCAGACUCCUACGGUCGCGAGCAUUGGUGAAUAUUGCACCAUGGGCGCAAGCCUUAUGCAGCCCUGCCGCGUGUAUGAUGAAGGCCUUCGGGUUGUAAAGUACUUUCAGCGGGGAGGCGUUACCCGCAGAAGAAGCGCCGGCUAACUCCGUGCCAGCAGCCGCGGUAAUUC